UGGGGAAUAUUGGACAAUGGGGGCAACCCUGAUCCAGCAAUGCCGCGUGUGUGAAGAAGGCCUGCGGGUUGUAAAGCACUUUCAGUAGAGACGAAAAGCCUAAGGUUAAUAACCUUGAGUCUUGACUUAACCUACAGAAGAAGCACCGGCUAACUCCGUGCCAGCAGCCGCGGUAAUACGGAGGAUGCAAGCGUUAUCCGGAAUGAUUGGGCGUAAAGCGUCCGCAGGUGGAAAUGCAAGUCUACUGUUAAAGAGUGAAGCUUAACUUCAUAAAGGCGGUGGAAACUGCAUAACUAGAGUACGUUCGGGGCAGAGGGAAUUCCUGGUGUAGCGGUGAAAUGCGUAGAUAUCAGGAAGAACACCGGUGGCGAAAGCGCUCUGCUAGGCCGUGACUGACACUGAGGGACGAAAGCUAAGGGAGCGAAUGGGAUUAGAUACCCCCGUAGUCC
rnacentral:rRNA from 1 species